GUGAGUAACGCGUAUGCAACCUACCCUUUACAGGGGGAUAGCUCGGAGAAAUUCGGAUUAAUACCCCAUAUUUUUAUCAGAUGGCAUCAUUAGAUAAACAAAGUUACGGCGGUAAAGGAUGGGCAUGCGUGCCAUUAGUUAGUUGGUGAGGUAAAGGCUCACCAAGACAUCGAUGGCUAGGGGGUCUGAGAGGAUGGUCCCCCACACUGGUACUGAGACACGGACCAGACUCCUACGGGAGGCAGCAGUGAGGAAUAUUGGUCAAUGGGCGCAAGCCUGAACCAGCCAUGCCGCGUGCAGGAUGACAGCUCUAUGGGUUGUAAACUGCUUUUAUACGGGAAGAAUAGCCUGAACGUGUUCGGGACUGACUGUACUGUAUGAAUAAGCAUCGGCUAACUCCGUGCCAGCAGCCGCGGUAAUACGGAGGAUGCAAGCGUUAUCCGGAUUUAUUGGGUUUAAAGGGUGCGUAGGCGGGAUAUUAAGUCAGUGGUGAAAGUCUGCAGCUUAACUGUAGAACUGCCAUUGAUACUGGUAUUCUUGAAUACAAUUGAGGUAGGCGGAAUGUGUAAUGUAGCGGUGAAAUGCAUAGAUAUUACACAGAACACCGAUUGCGAAGGCAGCUUGCUAAAUUGUUAUUGACGCUGAGGCACGAAAGCGUGGGGAUCAAACAGGAUUAGAUACCCU
rnacentral:rRNA from 1 species